UACAGAGGGGGCAAGCGUUAUUCGGAAUUAUUGGGCGUAAAGGGCGCGUAGGCGGCCAUUCAAGUGACGGGUGAAAGCCCUCGGCUUAACCGAGGAACUGCCUGUCAGACUGGAUGGCUUGAGACCGGGAGAGGUGAGUGGAAUUCCCAGUGUAGCGGUGAAAUGCGUAGAUAUUGGGAGGAACACCAGUGGCGAAGGCGACUUCCUGGCCUGUUCUUGACGCUGAGGCGCGAAAGCUAGGGGAGCAAACGGGG
rnacentral:rRNA from 1 species